GUAAGUACAGAUUGCUUUCUAAGUACAUAUGUAGAUCCACCUUGUUGAUUUUAAGUGUUGGGUGAGGCUCAGUUACAGGGAACAUUCAUAGUUCAUGAACUGAUUACGAGUUAAUGAGCAUUUAGGACAUUUCUCAGUAUCUUGCAGUUUUAAGAAGCAGAGUGAGGUUGGAGGACAAGAAACCUCAUUGUUCCCUGAUGUUGGAUAUGAGGCAGUACCCUGGUGUCUCUUGAAUUUUCUAGAAAUCCUUAUUAAGAAGAUAUUUCUCCCAAAUUGGGGGCCAUGAAGGUGAAGGAGAACUAAGAUUAUUGUCUCUGUAGGGGAAUGAAGAAGCAGUGCUCAAAUGUGACAAAGAGGGGCUGGCAUAUCUCUGAGGUCAAGGAAAGGCCACACCUCUUCAGCAGUGGCAUUCAUGAGCUCAGUCCCUUCACAUAGGGAGGGAGGCCAUGGGUUAGUGGGGGCAACCUAGCACUUGGCCAGGCACUGUUGCUGAGGAACCCGAUGUAAGGAAAAAAUAGUGCUAACCGAAAAGGGCUGAGGCUUAUGGGGAGACACUUAUAUGUCUGGCUGACAGGGGAUGCUUCGAAGAACCACUUGUCCUUUCUUGGUUUUUGUUUAUGGAGCAUUUGGUCAUGUGGAUGAAUUUGCUGUUUCAGUAUCAUAUAUACAGUGGACCCUUGACUUACAAACUCAAUCAUUCCGAAGGCUUGGUUGUAAUUCAAAGUUAAGUCAAUACAGCUGAGAUCUGAAUGUUUACCUGGCACCUAACCCUAUAGAUAACAAGGCAACUAAAUCUUCCCUUAACCUAAUUAACCCAAGUUGUUUGUAAGUCAGGCCAGUAACUUGAGGGUCUACUGUAGCAUUACUGGAGUCUGAGCCUGGCAGGAAUUUGAUGAAAUUUCUCUGGUUCUCUGAAUAUUUGCAACUGUCCAGUAGCCAUUUCCACCCUCCCAUCCUGGUGGCGCUUGGAAGCCUGUAUGUUCCACGCAGAGAAUCUUGUUGUCUUGCCUGUCUUUGCAGGCUUCCUUGUGUCCUUCCCUCCCAUCCUUGCUGGCUUGUCUGGCUUGGGCCCUCAUUAUCACCUGGGUGUAUUCUUACUGUAGCCUCUCUCUGCCUGUGACGCUUCUACUUGUAGACUGAUCGAGGACCAAGCUUCCAGGAACUUUCUAAAUCACAGCCCCGGGCAAGCAUGGCCUCAUGUACUCCAAAACCUUAGGUGGCUCCUUUGGGGCCAGAGGACACUGCCACUAUUCUAGCUGGGCAUUUAACAGGCCCCUGAGCUGCCUUACCCCAAUCCAGCCACCCCUUCCCAACUCUUACCGUUUCCCAGAAGCGGCCUCUCUUCUGUCAGCAUGGUCCCUACAGAGGCUCACAUCCAGAUCCUCUUCACUGCCCGUUGAGUUUAUUUCAGUGCUCUUCAUCCUUAAUACAAAACAAGCAAUUCCCCAAACAAGCGCCAUAUCCUGCUUGAACCAUGUUUAGGUAAACUACAAAUGUACCAACGGAGCAUUCACAAAAACCUUGCUGUGAGAACUGAUCAUCCUCAGAGGGGAAAUAAUUGAGUUGAAGUAUUUGUAUGCAGACGAAAGAGUCUCUGGGUUACCAGGGAGUCUUGCUAUUAAAAUGCAACUCCAGGCCGGUUGGUCUUUCAAAAGUCAGAAAGAAUGGCUGGGCAUGGCUUGGUCAUUGCUCUUGUGGGCUUGUCUGAGGCGCAUCUUGGAGGAGGAAAUGCAUUCAAAGAGCUUCCUGAACUGCUCUGAAAACGCCACAAGAACAUGGAGACCUGAAGGCUCUGUCCUUUCUCACCUCUGUUCACUGUUGAUGGAUCAGGCUUUGUCUCCCAGAGUGGAGAUUGUUUCUGAACAAAUCCUGGUUGAGAAAGGACUCCAUGUUCUUUAGCAGUUUCCCGGGUGAUACAGCUUCUCUUCCGCUUUUGGAAUAAUAAUUAAUUACUUAGCUUCCUGCCCACUUCUGAAAAAGAAAACGAAG
ensembl:lncRNA